GAUGAACGCUAGCGGCAGGCUUAACACAUGCAAGUCGAGGGGUAUUGGUUUUCGGACCAAGAGACCGGCGCACGGGUGCGUAACGCGUAUGCAAUCUACCUUUUGCAGAGGGAUAGCCCAGAGAAAUUUGGAUUAAUACCUCAUAGUAUAGUACUUUGGCAUCAAGGAACUAUUAAAGUCACAACGGCAAAAGAUGAGCAUGCGUCCAUUAGCUAGUUGGUAAGGUAACGGCUUACCAAGGCUACGAUGGGUAGGGGUCCUGAGAGGGAGAUCCCCCCACACUGGUACUGAGACACGGACCAGACUCCUACGGGAGGCAGCAGUGAGGAAUAUUGGUCAAUGGGCGCAAGCCUGAACCAGCCAUGCCGCGUGCAGGAAGACGGUCCUAUGGAUUGUAAACUGCUUUUAUACAGGAAGAAACCCCUCCACGUGUGGGANCUUGACGGUACUGUAGGAAUAAGGAUCGGACUAACUCCGUGCCAGCAGCCGCGGUAAAGU
rnacentral:rRNA from 1 species